rnacentral:rRNA from 1 species
ACCAGGAAUAUUGCGCAAUGGACGAAAGUCUGACGCAGCGACACCGCGUGGAGGAUGACGGCCUUAGGGUUGUAAACUCCUUUUGCCAAGCCGUUCACAGCUUGGAGAAUAAGCACCUACUAACUACGUGCCAGAAGUCUCGGUAAUACGUAGGGUGCAAGCGUUAUCCGGAUUUACUGGGCGUAAAGUGUGCGUAGGCGCCCCAACAAGUCGUAUUUUAAAGACUAAGGCUUACCCUUAGGAGUGAGUACGAUACUAUUGGGGUUGAGGAUUAACAGGGAUGCUGGAACAGUUAGUGUAGCAGUGAAAUGCGUUGAUAUUAACUGGAACACCAAGGGCGAAGGCAGGCAUCUGGGUUUUUCCUGACGCUGAGGCACGAAAGCUAGGGUAGCGAAAC